rnacentral:rRNA from 2 species
GGGGAUUAGUGGCGAACGGGUUGAGUAAUACGUGGGCAAUCUGCCCUGCACUCUGGGACAAGCCCUGGAAACGGGGUCUAAUACCGGAUACUCACUGCCUUGGGCAUCCUUGGUGGUGGAAAGCUCCGGCGGUGCAGGAUGAGCCCGCGGCCUAUCAGCUAGUUGGUGAGGUAAUGGCUCACCAAGGCGACGACGGGUAGCCGGCCUGAGAGGGCGACCGGCCACACUGGGACUGAGACACGGCCCAGACUCCUACGGGAGGCAGCAGUGGGGAAUAUUGCACAAUGGGCGAAAGCCUGAUGCAGCGACGCCGCGUGAGGGAUGACGGCCUUCGGGUUGUAAACCUCUUUCAGCAGGGAAGAAGCGAGAGUGACGGUACCUGCAGAAGAAGCGCCGGCUAACUACGUGCCAGCAGCCGCGGUAAUACGUAGGGCGCAAGCGUUGUCCGGAAUUAUUGGGCGUAAAGAGCUCGUAGGCGGCUUGUCACGUCGGUUGUGAAAGCCCGGGGCUUAACCCCGGGUCUGCAGUCGAUACGGGCAGGCUAGAGUUCGGUAGGGGAGAUCGGAAUUCCUGGUGUAGCGGUGAAAUGCGCAGAUAUCAGGAGGAACACCGGUGGCGAAGGCGGAUCUCUGGGCCGAUACUGACGCUGAGGAGCGAAAGCGUGGGGAGCG